AUUGAACGCUGGCGGCAGGCCUAACACAUGCAAGUCGAACGAGUGGCGGACGGGUGAGUAAUGUCUGGGAAACUGCCCGAUGGAGGGGGAUAACUACUGGAAACGGUAGCUAAUACCGCAUACCAUCGGAUGUGCCCAGAUGGGAUUAGCUAGUAGGUGGGGUAAAGGCUCACCUAGGCGACGAUCCCUAGCUGGUCUGAGAGGAUGACCAGCAACACUGGAACUGAGACACGGUCCAGACUCCUACGGUAGGCAGCAGUGGGGAAUAUUGCAAAAUGGGCGCAAGCCUGAGGCAGCCAUGCCGCGUGUAUGAAGAAGGCCUUCGGGUUGUAAAGUACUUUCAGCGAGGAGGCGUUACUCGCAGAAGAAGCACCGGCUAACUCCGUGCCAGCAGCCGCGGUAAUUC
rnacentral:rRNA from 1 species